UGUCCAGGGAUGGGAAUCGAACCCACAGUGUUCCACUUACCGAGCAGAUGCCAUGUCCACUAGGACAUCUCUAAGGU
rnacentral:tRNA from 1 species